ACUGCUGACAAAGUGCCCGCUGCGGAGAGAACAUGCAAAUCGUAAAGACGCCGUCAAUCCCUCCCUGGAGGGUCGUGCUGCGUCAUCCCUGGCGCGGACGCUUU
rnacentral:ncRNA from 1 species